rnacentral:piRNA from 1 species
UCAGCCUAAACAAAAGGACUAGUGUUCUAGU